CUGCCGUGUGUGUGAAGAAGGCCUUCGGGUUGUAAAGCACUUUCAGUUGUGAGGAAAGGUUAGUAGUUAAUACCUGCUAGCUGUGACGUUAGCAACAGAAGAAGCACCGGCUAACUCCGUGCCAGCAGCCGCGGUAAUACGGAGGGUGCGAGCGUUAAUCGGAAUUACUGGGCGUAAAGCGUACGCAGGCGGUUUGUUAAGCGAGAUGUGAAAGCCCCGGGCUCAACCUGGGAACUGCAUUUCGAACUGGCAAACUAGAGUGUGAUAGAGGGUGGUAGAAUUUCAGGUGUAGCGGUGAAAUGCGUAGAGAUCUGAAGGAAUACCGAUGGCGAAGGCAGCCACCUGGGUCAACACUGACGCUCAUGUACGAAAGCGUGGGGAGCAAACGGGAUUAGAUACCCCGGUAGUCCACGCCGUAAACGAUGUCUACUAGGAGUUCGGUUUUUCGGAACUGUCUUCCAAAGCUAACGCAUUAAGUAGACCGCCUGGGGAGUACGGCCGCAAGGUUAAAACUCAAAUGAAUUGACGGGGGCCCGCACAAGCGGUGGAGCAUGUGGUUUAAUUCGAUGCAACGCGAAGAACCUUACCUACACUUGACAUCCAGAGAACUUACUAGA
rnacentral:rRNA from 2 species